CGGAGCUACGGUCCAGGAUGGCGGGAGCGGAGCCACGAUCGCGGGGUUGGGGAGCGGGCCGGGCAGAGGAGCGGCUGUCGGGAGACCGGGCGGAGUUGCGGUGGGACCCUCGGGCUGCAGCUGACUGGGGUCGGCGGCGGGCAGCGUCCUGCCGCGGGGAGGCCCGGGCCGGGCCGAGCGGACAGCCCCGGGGACCCCCCGCCCCCGGGAACGCGGUGCCCCUGGCAACCCGACGCUGCGGCAGAUGAAGGUGACACACACCCGGUGGUACUGGGAAGCUUCUGGACGAAAUGCCGCCGACCUGCUGCUGUUGGAGGGAGCCAGCCUCACCCUGAGACGGGGGCCGCGGGUGUAGUCAGCAGGGCGAGGGCCUCCGGAAAAAGACUCCUACGAAAACUCCGUAUUAAACAGUUCAGCAAAGUCAG